AUGAGGAUGUGGACAGCUUGGUGUGUGGCCACGUACUUCUUUGGAGCAAGUAAGGAAUCAGAGCUAAAAUUUCUUGUGUUGAAAGAAAAUGAGAAAGCUACUCUAACAUGCAGUCAAAAUGAUUAUCACGUUUCUAUAUACUGGUAUCUGCAGCAGCCAGGGAAGGGGCUGCAACUGCUCUAUUAUUCCAUUGGUGCAAAUCAGGAACAAGAGGGUGACAUUCACACUGGAUACAAAGCUAACUGGUUAAACCUCACAGACUUUUAUCUGUGAAGAUGAAUGAUUCAGCUGUUUAUUUCUGUGCCAGCAGUUUGGACACAACACUUCAAAGUCGCUUGCUUUCUUUACAUAAACUUCUCUCCUUUCCAGCACCUUCCCUCAGAAGGGAGCCGCUCUCAGCACAGGAGAAGGGUAUGCAGGCCAAUAGCCUAUUCACAAACCAGAUGUUGCCAAGCAGUUGGAACGAGAGGGGCAGAAUAGGUCUUUGAAGUGCAGGUUAAUUGCUGAACUCCUCCUUCCCGAUCAGCCAUUUAUUCUCUAUCUCAUCAGAACAAUCAAUAAAGGUUGUUAACCAAAUGCAGACGUAAAAUAAAGGAAAUGGAAACUGCAAUCUACACAGCCACAAAUUAUUGUCCCCUAAGCCAUUUUCUUACCUAACACAGAACAGUUAUGUGAA